AAAAAUUUAGUUUAAAAAAAAACAUUAAGUUGUCAACUUAAAAUUAUAAUUGUAUAAUUUUUU
rnacentral:tRNA from 1 species